CCCGCUGAACUUAAGCAUAUCACUAAGCGGAGGAAAAGAAAUUAACUAAGAUUGCCUCAGUAACGGCGAGUGAAGCGGCAAAAGCCCAAACUGGAAAUCUCUACCCUUCGGGUAGCGAAUUGUAAUCUAGAGGGUGGAAGCUCAAUUAGCGGUGGCGCAGAAGUGCCUUAGAACGGGCCGCCAGAGAGGGUGACAGCCCCGUAUGUGGUGCCAGCGCUUAACGAGCUCUAUUCUAAGAGUCGGGUUGUUUUGAAUUGCAGCCCUAAGCUGGGAGAUACAUUUCUUCUAAGGCUAAAUAUAUAUGGGAAACCGAUAGCGAACAAGUACUGUGAAGGAAAGAUGAAAAGAACUUUGAAAAGAGAGUCAAAAGACUUGAAAUCGUUGAGAAGGAAGCGGUAGAAAUUUAUUCUUCUGUCGUGAAUGAUGGUGUUCGGCUCGCGUAUCGGAGGGAUGUAGUACGUCAAAGGCUGCUUUUUCCGCGUGCGUGACUGAUAGCUGGAUUCUAGGCAGUGAGACAAAAUGGGGUUUCGCAUCCACAUAAGCUUGGUUUACUUGGGCUGCUUCGGUGGUCAGUCUGCCUUUGCUAGUGGGCGCGGAGCCCGAGGAAGCCUUGUGCGAUUUUGUCAAAAUGGUUUUUACCGACCCGUCUUGAAACACGG
rnacentral:rRNA from 1 species